UACGAAGGGGGCUAGCGUUGCUCGGAAUCACUGGGCGUAAAGCGCACGUAGGCGGAUUGUUAAGUCAGGGGUGAAAUCCUGGAGCUCAACUCCAGAACUGCCUUUGAUACUGGCAUUCUCGAGUCCGGAAGAGGUGAGUGGAAUUCCGAGUGUAGAGGUGAAAUUCGUAGAUAUUCGGAGGAACACCAGUGGCGAAGGCGGCUCACUGGUCCGGUACUGACGCUGAGGUGCGAAAGCGUGGGGAGCAAACAGG
rnacentral:rRNA from 1 species